GAUGAACGCUAGCGAUAGGCUUAACACAUGCCAGUCGAGGGGCAGCAUGGUCUUAGCUUGCUAAGACUGAUGGCGACCGGCGCACGGGUGCGUAACGCGUAUGCAACUUGCCUCACAGAGGGGGAUAACCCGUCGAAAGACGGACUAAUACCGCGUACACUCCAUCUUGGGCAUCCAAGGUAGAGGAAAUGAAAUUCGCUGUGAGAUAGGCAUGCGUCCCAUUAGCUAGUUGGUGAGGUAACGGCUCACCAAGGCGACGAUGGGUAGGGGAACUGAGAGGUUGAACCCCCACACUGGUACUGAGACACGGACCAGACUCCUACGGGAGGCAGCAGUGAGGAAGAUUGGUCAAUGGGCGAGAGCCUGAACCAGCCAAGUCGCGUGAAGGAUGACUGUCUUAUGGAUUGUAAACUUCUUUUAGACGGGAAUAACAAGAGUCACGUGUGACUCCCUGCAUGUACCGUAUGAAUAAGCAUCGGCUAACUCCGUG
rnacentral:rRNA from 1 species